rnacentral:rRNA from 1 species
AAUCAACGCUGGCGGCGUGCCUAACACAUGCAAGUCGAACGCGAAAGCCCGCAAGGGUAAGUAGAGUGGCGCACGGGUGAGUAACACGUGGACAACCUGCCUUCGAGUGGGGAAUAACCUUCCGAAAGGAGGGCUAAUACCGCAUAACACCUCGGGACACAAGUUCUGGGGUUGAAAAGAGCAAUUUGCUCGAAGAGGGGUCCGCGCCUGAUUAGCUAGUUGGUGAGGUAACGGCUCACCAAGGCUUCGAUCAGUAGCCGUCCUGAGAGGGAGCACGGCCACACUGGAACUGAGACACGGUCCAGACUCCUACGGGAGGCAGCAGUGGGGAAUUUUUGGCAAUGGGCGAAAGCCUGACCAAGCAACGCCGCGUGGGUGAUGAAGUAUCUUGGUACGUAAAACCCUUUCGGCAGGGACGAACCUAAUGACGGUACCUGCGGAAGAAGCCCCGGCUAACUCCGUGCCAGCAGCCGCAGUAAC